rnacentral:rRNA from 1 species
GCCAAAUAGCUAGCUUAACCAAUAAAACUAAAAAACCAACAUUAUUCAACUUUACCAAACUAAACAAAAAUAAAUAAAACAUUCUUCCACCCUAGUAUGGGCGACAGAAAAGGAAUUAAUAAGCAAUACAAAAAGUACCGCAAGGGAAAGCUGAAAGAGAAAUGAAACAACACAUUCCAGCCUAAAAAAGCAGAGAUAUACCCUCGUACCUUUUGCAUCAUGUUUUAGCUAGUAAAAUCAAGCAAAGAGAACUAUAGUUUGAAACCCCGAAACCAAGUGAGCUACUCCGAAACAGCUUACAUAGAGCCAACCCUUCUCUGUAGCAAAAGAGUGGGAAGAGUUCCGAGUAGAGGUGACAAACCUACCGAACUUGGUUAUAGCUGGUUACCUGAGAAAUGAAUAGAAGUUCAGCUCUGUUCUUCCUUCAAUCAAUUUAGUAUUACUAAAAUAGAUCAAAGAAACAAACAGAAGUUACUCAUAGAAGGUACAGCUUCUUUGAGAAAGGAUACAACCUUAAAGAGAGGUAAAGGCUUAUAAUUUUAAUAAAAGCACCCAUUUCAGUGGGCCUAAAAGCAGCCACCUGUUUAGAAAGCGUUAAAGCUCAAAUGGAGUAUAGCUCCUUAUAACUAUAAUUAAUUCCUACACCCUCACAAUUAUCAGGUUAUUUCAUGCACCCAUGAAAGAAAUAAUGCUAGAAUGAGUAACAAGAAGAAUGAACUUCUCCAAGCACAUGUGUAAGUUGGAUCGGACACCCCACCAACAAUUAACGAACUCAACCAAAGAGAGUAAUGCAAUAAUAAAAAUAAACUAGAAAAACAUGCAUAACCUAUCGUUACCCCUACACAGGAGUGCCAUUAGGAAAGACUUAAAGGUGAAGAAGGAACUCGGCAAACAUAAACCUCGCCUGUUUACCAAAAACAUCGCCUCCUGAAUAAUAAAACAUAGGAGGUCCCGCCUGCCCUGUGACCAAAAGUUUAACGGCCGCGGUAUUUUGACCGUGCGAAGGUAGCGCAAUCACUUGUCUUUUAAAUGAAGACCUGUAUGAAUGGCAUAACGAGGGUUUAACUGUCUCCUUCCCCUAGUCAGUGAAAUUGAUCUGCCCGUGAAGAAGCGGACAUAAUAAUACAAGACGAGAAGACCCUAUGGAGCUUAAGACACAAGACCAAACAUGUUAAACAACCCCAAAUAGGUAAAAACACAAUGAAAUCUGGUCCCAAAUGUCUUCGGUUGGGGCGACCAUGGGGAAAAAUAAAACCCCCACGCUGAUUGGGAUAACCUCCUAAAACUAAGAAAUACAUUUCUAAGCCACAGAAUUUCUGACUUAUAUGAUCCGGCCCAAAAGCCGAUCAACGAACCAAGUUACCCUAGGGAUAACAGCGCAAUCCUCUUUUAGAGUCCAUAUCGACAAGAGGGUUUACGACCUCGAUGUUGGAUCAGGACAUCCUAAUGGUGCAGCCGCUAUUAAGGGUUCGUUUGUUCAACGAUUAAAGUCCUACGUGAUCUGAGUUCAGACCGGAGUAAUCCAGGUCAGUUUCUAUCUGUAAAACUAUAUUUCCUAGUACGAAAGGACCGGAAAUAUGGAGCCCAUGCUCUAAGUACGCUCCAGCCCCAAUUAAUGAAAACAACUAAAAUAAAUAAAGGGAAGUACCCCCACAACCCUAAAAAAGAGUAU